rnacentral:rRNA from 1 species
CUGCUUCGCUGACGAGUGGCGGACGGGUGAGUAAUGUCUGGGAAACUGCCUGAUGGAGGGGGAUAACUACUGGAAACGGUAGCUAAUACCGCAUAACGCCGCAAGACCAAAGAGGGGGACCUUCGGGCCUCUUGCCAUCGGAUGUGCCCAGAUGGGAUUAGCUAGUAGGUGGGGUAACGGCUCACCUAGGCGACGAUCCCUAGCUGGUCUGAGAGGAUGACCAGCCACACUGGAACUGAGACACGGUCCAGACUCCUACGGGAGGCAGCAGUGGGGAAUAUUGCACAAUGGGCGCAAGCCUGAUGCAGCCAUGCCGCGUGUAUGAAGAAGGCCUUCGGGUUGUAAAGUACUUUCAGCGGGGAGGAAGGCGAUAAGGUUAAUAACCUUGUCGAUUGACGUUACCCGCAGAAGAAGCACCGGCUAACUCCGUGCCAGCAGCCGCGGUAAUACGGAGGGUGCAAGCGUUAAUCGGAAUUACUGGGCGUAAAGCGCACGCAGGCGGUCUGUCAAGUCGGAUGUGAAAUCCCCGGGCUCAACCUGGGAACUGCAUUCGAAACUGGCAGGCUAGAGUCUUGUAGAGGGGGGUGGAAUUCCAGGUGUAGCGGUGAAAUGCGUAGAGAUCUGGAGGAAUACCGGUGGCGAAGGCGGCCCCCUGGGACAAAGACUGACGCUCAGGUGCGAAAGCGUGGGGAGCAAAACAGGAUUAGAUACCCUGGUAGUCCACGCCGUAAACGAUGUCGACUUGGAGGUUGUGCCCCUUGAGGCGUGGCUUCCG